UUGAACGCUGGCGGCAGGCCUAACACAUGCAAGUCGAGCGGAUGAAGGGAGCUUGCUCCUGGAUUCAGCGGCGGACGGGUGAGUAAUGCCUAGGAAUCUGCCUGGUAGUGGGGGAUAACGUCCGGAAACGGGCGCUAAUACCGCAUACGUCCUGAGGGAGAAAGUGGGGGAUCUUCGGACUUCACGCUAUCAGAUGAGCCUAGGUCGGAUUAGCUAGUUGGUGGGGUAAAGGCCUACCAAGGCGACGAUCCGUAACUGGUCUGAGAGGAUGAUCAGUCACACUGGAACUGAGACACGGUCCAGACUCCUACGGGAGGCAGCAGUGGGGAAUAUUGGACAAAGGGCGAAAGCCUGAUCCAGCCAUGCCGCGUGUGUGAAGAAGGUCUUCGGAUUGUAAAGCACUUUAAGUUGGGAGGAAGGGCAGUAAGUUAAUACCUUGCUGUUUUGACGUUACCAACAGAAUAAGCACCGGCUAACUUCGUG
rnacentral:rRNA from 1 species